GAUCUCUUACCACGAUUCCUGCACAUUGCCUAAAUGGUUUCACUGGUUCCAGUCAGUGCUUCAGCUAUGAGAGCCACAGUAUUACAGGCUUUGGCUAUGCUGCAAACUUGUAUUCGACAAAGACGUUAGAAAAUGGAUGGAUGGAUUAAAGAAAUGACCAACAACAGUCAAUCCUGCUACAGCAGUGAUCUUCGCUCCUGGUGCUCGAGAGGCUCAGGAAAGGCUCCUGGCUUCUAUUUCACCAACAUGUGUCUUGUCCCUGAGUGGUGUUACAGCCUCCCCAGCUAAUGAUGAAUGCCAUUCUGCCCCUGCUGGGAUUUGAUCAUGGCCACUGAAUCACUCGGGUUAUUCCCAGAGAGCAGAGAAUUCCUCUGCUCCCAAAGGCUGCGUCUCCCGCCGUGGGGGAAGUUAGUGUUAUCCUUCC